rnacentral:rRNA from 1 species
GGCCUUGACAUACUAAGAACUUUCCAGAGAUGGAUUGGUGCCUUCGGGAACUUAGAUACAGGUGCUGCAUGGCUGUCGUCAGCUCGUGUCGUGAGAUGUUGGGUUAAGUCCGCAACGAGCGCAACCCUUUUCCUUAUUUGCCAGCGGGUUAAGCCGGGAACUUUAAGGAUACUGCCAGUGACAAACUGGAGGAAGGCGGGGACGACGUCAAGUCAUCAUGGCCCUUACGGCCAGGGCUACACACGUGCUACAAUGGUCGGUACAAAGGGUUGCUACCUCGCGAGAGGAUGCUAAUCUCAAAAAGCCGAUCGUAGUCCAGAUCGCAGUCUGCAACUAGACUGCGUGAAGUCGGAAUCGCUAGUAAUCGCGGAUCAGAAUGCCGCGGUGAAUACGUUCCCGGGCCUUGUACACACCGCCCGUCACACCAUGGGAGUUUGUUGCACCAGAAGUAGGUAGUCUAACCGCAAGGAGGACGCUUACCACGGUGUGGCCGAUGACUGGGGUGAAGUCGUAACAAGGUAGGCGUAGAUGA